AAGGCGCUUUGCGCCUUAUAUUACGGAAAUAGGCAAUGUGCCUCAUUCCUAUCAGACCGAGAAGAACAAAAGGGUAGUUUUCAAGUCCCUUUGAUUUUUCACCAUAAAACACUGAUAUACGAAGAUCUAACCGUCCAAACUCAAAUCCGAUUUCGAAAACGUAAACAACGAAGCCCGAUCUACGUUUCUACCGAUUAGUUUAAGGAUUUGUUGUGAGGAGCUUGCUAAACACUCUCCAAGUGUCGGAUUUACAUUUGGUGGAAUUUUCGGAUUUGUUGUGAGGAGCUUGCUAAACACUCUCCAAGUGUCGGAUUUACAUUUGGUGGAAUUUUUGUGACACAUUACAUGGUGGUGUCUAGGAGACCUAGUGCUUAAUAUCCGCCCAGCCAAUGUUCUGCAGAUAUAGAUAAUGACUCGUCCACCUAGCGUAUGGGAUGCUAUGAUUGGAGCACAUCGCGACAGUCAUAAGUCACGGACUCAUGGGUAGUCCGCAUUUGGGUAUUUUAUUUAUGGCUCAUGUCAUACGUGGCAUAUGUAUUUGUUGAGCCUGUAUUUUAGUAUAUAGUCAGUGUAAUAUGUUUUAUAAGCCUUAAAUAGAUAGACUUGUAAAUGGCUCUUCUUGUAAUUAACUGUUAUGUAUUAGAUGUAUUUCCGCUUAUGAUAUGUUUUCCGCUGCACAUUGAUUAUUA